UACGUAGGGUGCGAGCGUUGUCCGGAAUUAUUGGGCGUAAAGAGCUCGUAGGCGGUUUGUCGCGUCGACUGUGAAAACCUACAGCUUAACUGUGGGCUUGCAGUCGAUACGGGCAGACUUGAGUUCGGUAGGGGAGACUGGAAUUCCUGGUGUAGCGGUGAAAUGCGCAGAUAUCAGGAAGAACACCAAUGGCGAAGGCAGCUCUCUGGGACGGUACUGACGCUGAGACGCGAAAGCGUGGGGAGCGAACAGG
rnacentral:rRNA from 1 species